AAGGAUGUAAGAGUGGUGUAACACGACUGCUUGUUUGGUGUAACACGACUGCUUGUUUUACAUAUAACAAUGGUAACACGUUGAUCCUUCCUUAACAAUGACAAUAGCCACGACAUCUACAACCGAUUGACCAACCAAUCGGAGGCCACCAUCUCUCCCUUCUUGAAUCUUGCACAAAAUGCAUACACCGCUAUCACCAUUUCAGGAAGACCACAAGCAGCAGGAACCUUCAAGAAAGGAUAAGCUCGUGACACAAGCGAUAAGCUCUUCAGGAGUUGAGUGGUGCGAUCGGUGGAACGGUGGAAGAUCUUCAAGAGUUUAGUGGGUUUUCAAACUCGUUACCAAAACAGAACCUUCAAUAUAUUGCUGACCAUACAUAUUGGAUUGGUGUAUGUUCAAUGAGCUGGAACAACCUGCAGAAAAUGAGAGGACAACAACAGUAAGGAAUGGGGACUUCAAUUUGGGGGCUACAAAAGCGAUUGUUGAUUGAAUUGGAAAGAAACUUUCACCACCGGCUGGAGAUUGGAGAUCACCUUAACGAGAUAAUCAAAUCGAUUCCAUCUUAGAAAAGUACAAAGAUUGUUAGUUAUCAUAAUUUUUAAAAUUUUUGUUAGUCUUUUACUUUUGUAUUUUUGGUUCUAGGUAUUAUUAGUUUCUUCUGCCAGUUUAGUCCAUCCAUUUCUUCUACCUUCCUAUUGGUUAUGAGGCCCACUUCAAACAGGUUAUUGUUAGUUGCUUAAAUGAAUCUUAUUUGUUCUCAUAACUGAAUCUCAAUGAUAUUAACUUAGAAGAUAUGAUGAUCUAGAGGAUAACUGAACUUAUACAUUAAAAUUUGUUGUCUGUCACGUUGUUUUCUAUAGAUCGAAACCUAUACAUUAGAAAGUUUCACUACUUUGAUAGGGCUGCUCAAUUUUUCUUUGUAACUAUUUGUGAUGUGAUUUUGCUAAUUUCAGCUCUGACGUGGGCUUACUUCUAUAAAUGUUGCUGAUGCUUGUUAUGUUAUUUUCUCAUUCUCUUAUGAUUGGAAUCGUUUUCAUCCCCUUGUGUUUUUUGAACUUCCACGCAGUAAUUUGUCUUAGAAAUGUAGUUCCUUUUUGCUUGUUUAGCUAAUAUAGUUCUCAUGUGAAGAAUGGAAAUGAUAUAAACUGAAAAAUCAAUGUGCACUUUAUUUUUCUUUUGAUGGGCUUUACUCAUUUUUUAUUUGAAUUCAUUAAAUAUUGAGCUUAAAGUCCUUGCUAUGACCAUUUUCAUGUAUGGAUUUCGAGAUCAAGUUGCUAACAGUUGGUGGAAAAAGAUUGAAACUUACGAUUUGGAACAUAGCUGGACAAAAGAGGUUUGGAACAUUGAUAAGCUCUUACAAUAGUGGUGCACAUGGAAUUAUUCUCGGUAAGCUGUUUUCAAAUGUAGAAAAUUUGCAUUCCAAUGUCAUUUAUGUGGUAGUUAUACUUUUGAUAGUAUAUUUUUUUACAGUACUUCAUAUGGAAUAGUUCUCUAAUUUUUUUUUGGGUAACACAUGAAUUGUUUUGAAAAUGUCUGCUCGGUCACAUGCUUCUUCUUACCAUUUCGAUCAAUUUAAAUAGUUUUAAUUGUUGAUGUUUUGUUGUCAUCUUUCCUCUACCUAAUGUUUAAGCAACCAUUUUUGUAUUUACUUUUUGUUUUAGUUUAUGAUGUAACAGUGAUGUGACCCCACGCGCUUCCAACUAGCAAUAAUAA